rnacentral:rRNA from 1 species
AAUCAACGCUGGCGGCAUGCCUAACACAUGCAAGUCGAACGCGACGAGGGCUUCGGCCUAAGUUGAGUGGCGAACGGGUGAGUAACACGUGGGUGACCUACCUUCGAAUGGGGGAUAACGCCCCGAAAGGGACGCUAAUACCGCAUAACAUCCCGCUCUUGAACGAGUGGAGAUCAAAGCUGGGGAUCGUAAGACCUGGCGUUUGAAGAGGGACCCGCGCCCGAUUAGCUAGUUGGUGAGGUAACGGCUCACCAAGGCGACGAUCGGUAGCCGGCCUGAGAGGGCGGACGGCCACACUGGGACUGAGACACGGCCCAG